UCGGGAAUUUUGGGCAAUGGGCGAAAGCCUGACCCAGCAACGCCGCGUGAAGGAUGAAGUCCCUCGGGAUGUAAACUUCGGAAAUAUGGGAAGAAUAAAUGACGGUACCAUACCUAAGGUCCGGCUAACUACGUGCCAGCAGCCGCGGUAAUACGAAGGGGGCUAGCGUUGUUCGGAAUUACUGGGCGUAAAGCGCACGCAGGCGGAUUGAUAAGUCAGGGGUGAAAUCCCGGGGCUCAACCUCGGAAUUGCCUUUGAUACUGCCAGUCUUGAGUCCGGGAGAGGUGAGUGGAAUUCCUAGUGUAGAGGUGAAAUUCGUAGAUAUUAGGAAGAACACCAGUGGCGAAGGCGGCUCACUGGCCCGGUACUGACGCUCAGGUGCGAAAGCGUGGGGAGCAAACAGGAUUAGAUACCCUGGUAGUCCACGCCGUAAACGAUGGGUACUAGGCGCCGGGGGGAGCGACCCCUUCGGUGCCGUCGCUAACGCAAUAAGUACCCCGCCUGGGGAGUACGGCCGCAAGGCUG
rnacentral:rRNA from 1 species